UAACUGUUUUUAAACUAUGAAUGCCAUGGAAGUCUAGUGAGUAUUUGUAAAUAAUUUAUGAUUGUUUGAAAUGACUGAAUGAUGAGUUUGAGUUAUGUUUGUGACUGAAUUUGAUGAAUAUGUAUUUGAUUUCUCGAUUGAAAAGAGGUUGAAAAUUGUUCAGUUGGGACCCGAAAAAGGGUGGCUAAUCCCGAGUUUUAGGGGAAGUGCUGCCGAAAUUUUAUAAAAAUCUGAGGUUUUAUUUGAAAAGUUAUUUUAAAAGAUUUGGUUUUGGAAAAUUAAAUUAUUUGAGAUUUAUUUCGUUGAGAAAAGGUGUAUUCUAUUUUUAAACUAGAUUUAUUAAGAAAAACAUAAUGUUUUAAAUCCAAUUUUGUAAGGAGAGAUUUUGUUCUAAGUGUUGUUUUGAGUUUGUUUUUUAAGAAAAGGAAUCUCUGCCACAGGAGAGCAGAGAACAAAGAUUAAAGGAAUAUAUUAAUUAAUGAAGCGUCUGCCACAGGAGAGCAGAUGUGACAUUGUUUGGGCCUUAGUGCCAAAUGUAAAGUGGGGACGCCCACACACUGAGAACUGUUUUCCAGAUGUACGCUUAGGCUGCGUUUGUUUUCAGAGACAGAACAGAACAUGACACUGGGACAGAGACAAUAGGGCGGAGACAUUAAAAAUUAUUGUUUAUGUAUUGUGUUUGGAUAUGAUGGACAAGACACUAAUGUAAUGUCCAAUAUCAUGUUUGGAUACACAUAAAAAUACAUGGACAAGACUAUAAUAUUAGGUAAAAUGACUAAAAUAGACAUCCCUCCCCUCCUUCCCUGUAUCUCUAAUCCUUGCCCUCCCUAACCUUUCGCUAAACUCUUCUCACUCUCUCUGGUGGACUACUCUUCAACACAUCGCAUUCAGUUUUACCCUACCUCUCUUGAUUGCAAGAAUGUUGUCAUUGUUCCCAUUCUCACGAAUCAUGUUAAGGUACGCUCUUCUUCAAAUCCCAAAUUCUGUUCCUCAUUCCGCUCUCGGUCUUUGCUUCCCUUCAACUUCAUCCCUACACUCUCACUCUCAGCCCCAAUCGCUUGAUGAAGCUGUUGAUUCCUUCACUCGCAUGCUCUUUAUGUGUCGCCCUCCAUCCAUCCUUCAAUUCCCCAAGAUUUUGGGAUCUCUUGCCAAGACCAACCAUUGCCCCACCGCCAUUUCCCUUUUUCAGCAAUUGCAAUCCAGGCUUCUGCAAAUUCCAAUCUUUUACUGUCAUUUAAAGCCAAACUGAGCAAAGUUUCAUAUGCAAAGAAGAUGGAGAAGAAAAGAGAGAUUGUGGAGCUGUAUAGGGAGAGGCUGGACAACACUCUUGCCUCACCUCAUAUGACAAAUUAUCACAUGCUCAAAAACCUUGUUCAGACUCAACUCUUGCAUUCUUCAAAACAACAAGAAUUCUACCAAGGUGAAGGUGCCGAUAGCUUAAGGUGAAGAAAGAAAAUUCCUAGAAGAAAAUGAGCUAAGGGAAAAGAAAAGAAAAGCAGCAGCAUGAAUGUAUGGACCAUAAGAGUGAAUUCAUUUGUAAAGUGAACCAAUAAGGGUGAAUUCAUUUGUAAAUAAAUAUUGAUGUGCACUUAGAUUAAGCAAAAGCUGGAUAGGCUCUUACUCACUUUAGAGGCAAGCUCUAUUUUGAAGAGUUAUUGCUAUCUGCCACAGCUAAGCACAUUUAGAUCCUCUGGAUUGGGGUAUGAAUGGGGAGUUUUGACCACAAACUGACGUAUGAGGCUAGGACUUCUCUCCGUGAACACCCCAGUUUUGUUUCUAGCUUGGGUAGACUUUUCUUUUUGGUAACAGAGAAAAGCCAUUGUUUUAAUCAAUUGAGAUGCUUUUGCAUUGUAGUUUUGAUGUAGCAUAAAAUGUAACUGAAGCAUGGAAAUUUGACUAACUGUGUGUUCUCUAUUACAGGAAGGACUGAGUUUGGUUUUCAGAGGUGGGAAUGGCUGAUGGUUGAUGAAGUACAAAAUGAUCAAACUGCAACUGCUUAAUAUUUUAUUUUUUUUAAAAUAUUAUUCACAGUCAUCAUUUUAUUCUAUUUCAAAUUUCCAUGAGAGAAGAGAGAAUAUGCAUACAUGUUUAGGACAUGGGACAUAUGCCUUUACAUGUAGAAUAUCAUUGAGCCUGAAGUUUCAAUAACUUGUGUCACUUAUUGUUACACUUAAUAAUAGUUUUCGAGCUUUAUUUUUCAGAAGUGGACCAUUUGAGUUAUGCUUGUUCAUUCCAUCUCUACAUGGUUGAUUUUUGUGAAAUACAAUAUAUGAGUUUCCCAGGUGUUCUUGAACCGUUCCGUUUAACUAUUUUGGGUUCUUUUGCAUAACAAACCUUUCCAAACUAGUGCAACACAAUGAAAUGAGGUCUACU